GCCGGAGUGGCGGAACUGGCAGACGCGGGGGACUCAAAAUCCUCUGCCCCGAAAGGGGCGUGCGGGUUCGACUCCCGCCUCCGGCA
rnacentral:tRNA from 1 species